rnacentral:rRNA from 1 species
CCUACGGGGCGCAGCAGGGGCGAAAACUUUACAAUGCGGGAAACCGUGAUAAGGGGACACCGAGUGCCAGCAUCAUAUGUUGGCUGUCCAGAUGUGUAAAAUACAUCUGUUAGCAAGGGCCGGGCAAGACCGGUGCCAGCCGCCGCGGUAACACCGGCGGCCCGAGUGGUGAUCGUGAUUAUUGGGUCUAAAGGGUCCGUAGCCGGUUUGGUCAGUCCUCCGGGAAAUCUGACGGCUCAACCGUUAGGCUUUCGGUGGAUACUGCCAGACUUGGAACCGGGAGAGGUAAGAGGUACUACAGGGGUAGGAGUGAAAUCUUGUAAUCCCUGUGAGACCACCUGUGGCGAAGGCGUCUUACCAGAACGGGUUCGACGGUGAGGGACGAAAGCUGGGGGCACGAACCGGAUUAGAUACCCGGGUAGUCCCAGCCGUAAACGAUGCUCGCUAGGUGUCAGGCAUGGCGCGACCGUGUCUGGUGCCGCAGGGAAGCCGUGAAGCGAGCCACCUGGGAAGUACGGCCGCAAGGCUGAAACUUAAAGGAAUUGGCGGGGGAGCAC